ensembl:lncRNA
UAGACAGAGAAGGGCUUCGGUAGAUUUGUCGGACUGUCGAGUAAGCAGUCUGGCUAGCGGUAUCGUUGCUGCGGCUGGAAUGGGGGGCUUGGCCCCAGGCCAACAGUGGUUAGAAAGGCUCAUUGUUGGGUGUAACUAACUACCAAAUUUAAAGCUAUUGGUAGGUGACUCAACGCAGCCUUAAACGGGGCCGCAGUACCCAGUAAAAGGCUGUGCUAAUUGUUUUGAGAACGGUACCUUGGCUAUCUAAUAUCCAUUCAACUGAAUUACCUGUUUUUUUGCAUGAUAUUGCUGUGCAACAGCAAUUCUGAGUCAAAACUGGACGACAUGAAGGGGUGUGUAAGUAACAUUGACUGCAUUAAUGCCAGAUAGUUGCAAUGACACGGCUUGGUAAACUUGCAAAAUAUCACCUUGCAAGACAGUCCUCUGAAUAACUCAGCAAGCUAACUUGGCUAAAGCUUAUACUUAGUAGUUUUUAGCAUAAGGUCGAUGAUUAGCGAAGUUCUCUAGCAGAGAUGUUUAACAGUAGAAUUGCAUAUCGUAUAUUUCGACCAUGAAACAAAACCUUUGCAUGGAAGACGGCUAACUGGGUCGCUUGCAGUUACCUAAUGCAAGUCCUCCUACAUACUCCAAGUGUAACGUUUGCCAGCUAACCUUAGCAUAGCAUGGUUUGAGCUUUCCAGCUGCCAAACGAGGGCUAACUGGGCAUUGUGUCUGUAUUUGACGAGACAAUUACUCAAUCUAUCUAGCUCAAUAUUUGUUAGAAAUGUCAUCAACGCGUGAAUGUUAUUAGUGAGCAAUGAUCAUGCCUGACUGCAACUGCUAGCCUGAGAAGUGUGCGGCUUUGUUCUUCAGUUGUGGUGGAGUCCAACCGGAAAGUCGUGGCAAUGCGACCAAAUUUGGUAAAUAAAGGGGAAAUAACUGGAAGCGUUGAGCCCUUCAUAGUCAUUUAGCGAUCCCGUUGUCUCUGUUCGGACAAUUUCCUUUAACAUAUAUGAAACCAAUUUCGACGCAGUACAUAUUUUAGUAUGAUGGAUAACCUUACCUAACUAUAUAAAGGUCGUGAACAUCACUAGUAGUCUAACGUUAGUUAUUUGUUGUUCACUGUUGACGUCAGGGUUAAUAAGUCUACGAUUUGACAUUAGCUCCUGGUUGUUUCGAAGCUAUCCAGCAGCUGCCCUGGCUAUCAGCAAACUGAAUACUUUGCACAUUGAUAAGAGGUUUGGUUGCAAGACAUACUUAUUGCAGUACAGUAUGUGUUUCAUGUCAUAUCAGUUGGGUUUGCAGAACUGCCCGUGUGCUAUGGUAACAAAAUGACCGUACUGAACUAAAGAGUUGGUAUUCUCCUUCUAUCACCUCGUCGCUCCAUUAGAAUAGCUCACAAUGACAUCUAGGCAGAGAGCAUUUCACUGACCUUAACGGGCAGUCAACAAGAAACCGAUUUUUUUGCAACUUAUUCCAAGGUUUACCGUUGUGGGUGCUUCAUUUUACUAGGUAGGAACAUUAUGUACACUGACAAAUGAACGCUAAAAAGACUAAGUACAAGGAUGUAUGACUGGGUAGUAGCUACAGUCCUAAAAUUAGACGACGAGACCCGAUGAAGUCAUGCAUACUCUGUUAGAUCACAGCUGAAGAUAUGGGUUCUGUUUUCAAAUUAGCUGGAAUAUUCAACAUGCUGUAGACCGCAUAUUUGUCUCCAACUGAAUAAGACAGAUCGUUUGUGUCACUGUUUACCGAUGUUUGGUGUCAAAAUACCGGUGUGCAUUGUCUUGCAGUAUUCCCCCCUCACUCCUGUCUGGCGCGCCGGGUCUGCAGUGGAGCUGUUAACAGAUGAUCCCGAAACCGGCAUCUAAGUGAGAACCAGAGCAAUGGGACGCUCCCUGAGGUAAGUGGAGCAGACAGUAGAGUGACGGUUAAGAGGCUUAAUUUAGAAGGAACUUGAAAAUGGGCUACUGUUAUAGACGGCAGCUGCGGUGGUGAUGUACGUGUAGUGACAAAUCAUUGAGUAAAAAAAGAUAUGACGACCAUUUAUUUUUAUUCUGUUCUGUCUUCACAGUGGCAACAUCAGAGUCCCUUUCUCUUCCGAAAUGGAGGGGAUCGACAAUGAAUACUCAACAUUCCUUUCACCUGAUGUUGGAUAGAUAGGGUUUUUAUCAUGAAAAAAAACCUACAGGGGAGAUUUUACCCCCAUAUUGUAAUGUUUUUAUUUCCAUAGUCAUUUUCUUUUAUGUGUUUUUGUGUUUGUUUUGGUUGACUGUACGGUAUGAGGUAAAGCUCUACCAUGAGUGUGGGGCAUGGCUCCCUCUGUGUGUCUGUGUAUUUUAUUAUAGUUUUUUUUUUAUUAAUGUGUUAGGAAAACUCGGGACUCUAAGCCUUGAUGAUAUUUAAACCUUCUUGGGGGAGACGGAGGGAAAGAUGCCAAAAAAAAAGGGGGGGGGGGGAGAAAGCAACCUGAGGUAGAGCUGACAUGAUUGGAGCUACCCAGAAGCCCAUGCGUCUGUGUUUACAAACCCCACAGGUGGCCCCACACGGCCGACAGCCCUUGCAGCAGCAUGUCUUCCACUUGUCCACUCAACACACUUUGCACUGCUUGUUUCAUUCUCCACAUCCACUGUAUAUGUCGUUUUAGUUCGUAACCCCAGGCCCCAGCACCACAACCAUUUGUCAGCGCCCAACUCCCAGUUCAGACCUAUUCAAAGCCAAGCACAGCUCGUUUGUCUUGUUGAUUCACUCUGGUCUAUGCACUUGUUCACAAGUGCUCUGAUCAGGAUCUCAAAAGUCCCUGUGUCUUUUCUGUAUUUAAGCUUUAUGCAAGUCAGAACAUGUGCACCUCUGAACGAGAUGGCAAAAACAUCAGAAAUCCUACAGACAAUAAAACACUCAAUCUACAGGCACACCUUCCACGUGUGCUAACGACCCUCUUUUGUGAGUCACACACUAAAGAUCUAUGUUUAAUCUCAUUCUGAUACCACGGUCAAUCUAAUUUCACUAUUCACACUCUUGACAGUUAUUUCCUGAGGCUAAGAGUCCCUGCUUAUCAUGUAUUUUAGUAAGUGCUUUCUGAGCUCAUGGUGUGUUCAUUUUGUUUUAUUUUUAGAAUGUUGCUUUUUAGUUUUGUUGUUUUCUUUUCUUUUGGUUCUGUUUUGCUUUGCUAGUAUAAAAAGAUAUCUAUAAUAAUGUGCGUUGUAAUUUAGAAGUAGCUGUAGAAAUGCAUUGUUUCCUUGUGGUAAGUGAUUGAGAUGCUGCCACGGAAGUAAGACACUGAUGAAUGGUGCUAUUUUGGACUUUAAUCUGCUACUUGGUGAGGUAGCUCUGGUGGGUUUCAUUUUAUAUGUUCAUGUUCUGAGAAGGUGUUGGUUCUUUGUGGUCUGGACGUUGUAUACUUGGUCUGGAUUGACUUUUUUUUUCCUGUUGAUUUUCUGUGCGGCUUUCUCAUUGGAUUUAUGGAUGAAACAAACAAAAGAGGAAAAUAGGCACAGUUGAUAUUUUCAGAAGGUGGCGAUCCAAUCACGUGUGGAGGGUGGGAGCAAUCACAAAACUGCAAUCCUUUAAAAGAGCUGUUUUGCCCCCUCAGCACAGAUAAGACUCGGACAUGAUAGUUAUAGGCUAGUUCCCAGCACAGGUCACUUUUAGAAAAUGUAAUGCUCCCUCUAAUUAUGUACCACAUGAAGAGUCACACUAACUAUAUAAAGAGUGUAUUUUGUGGCGCAGUACUGUCAUGGGUACAUCAACCUGAGAUUUGCACAUUGCAUAUUAAGAAUGCUUCCAUCAAUCAAUCAAUCAAUCGAAGAAGUCUCAACACAUGCCACAGCAUUAAAUGAGCUUUCUGCUUCUUCCAUUGCUUUGCAUAGUUUAGAGGCUAUGAUGUGGGGAUGGGGGGAGGGUACGAAAUGGCGAACCAUUUUGCCAUAGUCCCUUCCAAAAGCCAUGCACCUUCUUCAGACGCAGCUCGUCUGGGGCUCAGGGGUGUUAGAUGCUGCAUCUUUACCAGCAGGCCAAGACCUGUACGUCUGAUAAUCUAACUGUCUCUGGUCAGACAGUCAAUCUUAAAUUGUGAUGCACAUAAUUUUUUUUAGAAAUGCAUUUUCCAAAAAAAGCCAAAUAUGUAGCAUAAAGAAGCUGAACAAUCUUCAUAAUGACUUACCUAUUUUGUAAAGUAAUAUUAGAAUUAUUUUUCUUUGAUAAAAUAUGAACCAAAAAGCUUUCUAUGAAUUAUUUUGUCUAGUGAGGUUAACUUAAGUAUUGUUAUUCAGUAUUUGCAGUUUUGUCUUUGCUUCCUGUCGAUUCAUACUUUUAAAAGUCUCAAUAUGACGACCAACUUGAAAGCCCACAUUAGUUUCUUUGUCUUCCAUUCUUACUCCAGUAUGGAGGACCCUCCUAGCUUACUGUAGUUCUUCCUUGACUCCAUUAUCCUGUCCACUUGCAUGUUCUGUGCUGUUUUGUUUCUCUUCAGUACUUUUUCAAUUAUUCUUCCUCAUAGACUAGGUAUGCCAGCUGUCUUGUACAUAGCAAGUGAUUAGUAUAGGCAGGGGCGGCAACAGUAUGAGAUAAUAUGUAUUAUUGAAUGUGUAUGAUUGGUUUUAAAAACUAAUGACAAAAAAAAACACACAAAACCAGCUUAGUUACAGUAUCUUAAUUAUGAAGCACUGAUAGUAUUCCAUGUACUUUUGGCAAAUUUAGCAGUAGUUAAAUAAAUUUGCAAGCUCUGAAAAAUGAAUCACCGUUUCUGUGUUUUAUUUCCCCCCUCUAGUUCUAGAAGCACCGUAGGCAUUGCCCCAUACUGGUUGAUAAAAUUCUGCAGUACACACAUCUGCGUUUAGUCAUUGGAUAUGGCAGAAAGAAAACAGAAGUUCAGUGUUUUCUUCGGGAGAAGGCAACUUAAUACACUCAUUUAAUUGUGAACUGAUGGGCUCCUAUGCAGUGUUCAUGGAUAAUGAUGGAAGUUUAAAGCAGAUCUGGGUUGACCUUUAAAAAGCACGCCCAUAUGUAGCAGCACCAUUUCCUGCCCCAGACAUGAACACCAUGGUUCAGACCUGCCAGAGAGACCAUUAGUGUUUUCUUCAAGGUGCUUUAAGUCACAAUAUGAGCCCUCUUGGCAGAUUUGGUUUCUGCCAUUUUAAAGGAAAGAAGUUUGCAAGGUCAUUGCACACCUUUACCCUUUACCAUCCCUACCUUAAGACUAUCAUUGAUGUUCUACACUGACACAUUUAAUGUGGCACGUGUGUGUCUCAUUCCUCAGAUUUGUAUUAUACAAUAUUAUAUUUCU